GACGAACGCUGGCGGCGUGCUUAACACAUGCAAGUCGAACGGGGUGCUGGUUGGUGGCAACACCUUCCAGUACCUAGUGGCGAACGGGUGAGGAACACGUGAGCAACCCACCCCGGACUCUGGGAUAACAGCGGGAAACCGCUGCUAAUACCGGAUACCUUCCUCUGGUCGCAUGGCCAGGCGAAGAAAGGUUUACUGGUCCGGGACGGGCUCGCGGCCUAUCAGCUAGUUGGUGGGGUAACGGCCUACCAAGGCGUCGACGGGUAGCCGGUCUGAGAGGAUGAUCAGCCACACUGGGACUGAGACACGGCCCAGACUCCUACGGGAGGCAGCAGUGGGGAAUCUCGCGCAAUGGGCGAAAGCCUGACGCAGCAACGCCGCGUGCGGGAUGACGGCCCUCGGGUUGUAAACCGCUUUCAGCAGGAACGAAUCUGACGGUACCUGCAGAAGAAGGUCCGGCCAACUACGUGCCAGCAGCCGCGGUAACACGUAGGGACCAAGCGUUGUCCGGAUUUAUUGGGCGUAAAGAGCUCGUAGGCGGUUCGGUAAGUCGGGUGUGAAAACUCUGGGCUCAACUCAGAGAGGCCACCCGAUACUGCCGUGACUUGAGUCCGGUAGGGGAGCACGGAAUUCCUGGUGUA
rnacentral:rRNA from 1 species